rnacentral:rRNA from 1 species
UAGACGGUAGGGUAUUGGCCUACCGUGGCUAUGACGGGUAACGGGGAAUUAGGGUUCGAUUCCGGAGAGGGAGCCUGAGAAACGGCUACCACAUCUAAGGAAGGCAGCAGGCGCGCAAAUUACCCAAUCCUAAUACAGGGAGGUAGUGACAAGAAAUAACRAUACAGAACCUCACGGUUUUGUAAUUGGAAUGAGUUAAGUAUAAACCCCUUAACGAGUAUCAAUUGGAGGGCAAGUCUGGUGCCAGCAGCCGCGGUAAUUCCAGCUCCAAUAGCGUAUAUUAAAGUUGUUGCAGUUAAAAAGCUCGUAGUUGAUUUUCUGUUAAUUUUUAUGUAUAAUAUUGCGAUAUUUACAUAAUAUUAACAUAAUUCACAUUACUUUACAGUAUGUGGAAUUUUACUUUGAGAAAAUUAGAGUGCUUAAAGCAGGCUAUUGCCUUGAAUACUCCAGCAUGGAAUAAUAUUAAGGAUUUUUAUUCUUCUUAUUGGUUCUAGAAUAAAAAUAAUGAU